UACGGAGGGGGCUAGCGUUGUUCGGAAUCACUGGGCGUAAAGGGCGCGUAGGCGGCUUUAUAAGUCGGGGGUGAAAGCCUGUGGCUCAACCACAGAAUUGCCUUCGAUACUGUAGAGCUUGAGACCGGAAGAGGUAAGUGGAACUGCGAGUGUAGAGGUGAAAUUCGUAGAUAUUCGCAAGAACACCAGUGGCGAAGGCGGCUUACUGGUCCGGUUCUGGACGCUGAGGCGGCGAAAGCGUGGGGAGCAAACAGG
rnacentral:rRNA from 1 species